rnacentral:rRNA from 1 species
GCUCAAUUAACAAGGGCAUACACGGUUGUGUUUUGAAAAACACUUUAGUCCAUAGUUUGUGACGAGAAUUGCGGUCAACGUCAGUGCCUAUAGUGGGGCAAAUAUAAACCUUGUUUUGGCCCCGCAACCACUCAAGUGGGAAGGAAGGGUAUGCAUUUCUUAGAGGAAACCAUCUGCUGGAUCUUACUUUCCUUUGCUUCAGAAUACUGUUGCUGUCAGUGCUCAGGAAACAGACAUUCGAAGAUAGCUGAGUGAAGAAAAAUAAAACCAAAGCUUUAUGCACGCAAUGACCCACCCCUGCUCAUGUCAAAUUGUAUACAUAUUUUCUUUCCUUCAUAGUGGAACAAAACCUUUGCUUGUCACCCACCGUUCCUCCUAAUGAAAACCAUAUAGUAGAAGGAGAAGCGCUCAAGCAAGCGAGUGCUUUUUCCCCCUGUUCUUUUCUUUCUAGAACAGCAGCCAUCCAUUCAAUUG